UCGUUCCAAUGAGAAUGAAGGCUGAGGUGUGCGCCUUUUUUUUUUUUUCCUUCUUAGUCGUGUGUACAUCAUUGGGAAUGGAGGGAAAUAAAUGACUGGAUGGUCGCUGCUUUUUAAGUUUCAAAUUGACAUUCCAGACAAGCGGUGCCUGAGCCCGUGCCUGUCUUCAGAUCUUCACAGCACAGUUCCUGGGAAGGUGGAGCCACCAGCCUCUCCUUGACUCAUGCCCAAAGUUACGGAGGACCCAGCAACCAUCUCCUGCAGCCCCUGGAAACCUCUUGACUCUUCUGUGAUGUCCCCAGUGAUCCAGCAGCCCUGGCCUUCUUUUGAUGGCUUGAACAUUUGGUCUUCAUUGAACAGUUUGUAUAUUGGAAACUUGCCAGCCUCCAUCCACAUUCCAACCUCCGUCUGCAUCCCUCGAAUAACUGGGAGAUGAAACAGGAAGCUCUAUGACACACUUGAUCGAAUAUGACAGACACCGAAAAUCACGACUCAGCCCCCUCCAGCACCUCUACCUGUUGCCCGCCGAUCACAGCCGGAAUGCAGCUGAAAGAUUCCCUGGGGCCUGGUUCCAACCGCCCACUGUGGACUCUGAGGCCUCUGCAUUUGCGGGUGGUCUGCCUGUGAUAUUUUGGUCAUGGGCUGGUCUGGUCGGUUUCCCAUUUGUCUGGCCAGUCUCUAUGUGUCUUAAUCCCUUGUCCUUCAUUAAAAGCAAAACUAAAGAAAACAGAA
rnacentral:lncRNA from 1 species